rnacentral:rRNA from 1 species
UACGUAGGGUGCGAGCGUUAAUCGGAAUAACUGGGCGUAAAGGGCACGCAGGCGGGCUUUUAAGUGAGGUGUGAAAUCCCCGGGCUUAACCUGGGAAUAGCAUUUCAGACUGGGGGUCUAGAGUACUUUAGGGAGGGGUAGAAUUCCACGUGUAGCGGUGAAAUGCGUAGAGAUGUGGAGGAAUACCGAAGGCGAAGGCAGCCCCUUGGGAUAACACUGACGUUCAGGCCCGAAAGCGUGGGUAGCAAACAGG